rnacentral:tRNA from 2 species
GGGCCCGUGGCUCAGCCAGGACAGAGCGACGGCCUUCUAAGCCGUAGAUCGCGGGUUCAAAUCCCGCCGGGUCCG